UACAUACUCCCUCCGUCCGAAAAAGCUUGUCCCAAGCUUGUUCCUCAAAUGGAUGUAUCUAGCACUAACUUGGUGCUAGAUACAUCCAUUUGAUGGACAAGCUUUUUCGGACGGAGGGAAUACAUG
rnacentral:pre_miRNA from 1 species